rnacentral:rRNA from 1 species
CCUACGGGAGGCAGCAGUGAGGAAUAUUGGUCAAUGGACGAGAGUCUGAACCAGCCAAGUAGCGUGAAGGAUGACUGCCCUAUGGGUUGUAAACUUCUUUUAUAUGGGAAUAAAAUGUUCCACGUGUGGGUUUUUGUAUGUACCAUAUGAAUAAGGAUCGGCUAACUCCGUGCCAGCAGCCGCGGUAAUACGGAGGAUCCGAGCGUUAUCCGGAUUUAUUGGGUUUAAAGGGAGCGUAGGUGGAUGGGUAAGUCAGUUGUGAAAGUUUGCGGCUCAACCGUAAAAUUGCAGUUGAAACUGGCAGUCUUGAGUACAGUAGAGGUGGGCGGAAUUCGUGGUGUAGCGGUGAAAUGCUUAGAUAUCACGAAGAACUCCGAUUGCGAAGGCAGCUCACUGGACUGCAACUGACACUGAGGCUCGAAAGUGUGGGUAUCAAACAGGAUUAGAUACCCCAGUAGUC